rnacentral:rRNA from 1 species
AUGUCCAAGUCGAAGUGCUGCAAAAAGUAUCUAAGUAAGGAGAAGUACAUGAAGGUGCUCCCGAGAUGGUGUGCGGAUAGGCUGGAUUGUUGGGAGGCAUUGGUGGAUGAGUGGUGCUGUCCCCAAUGGCUAUCCACCCACAACAAUGCAAAGGAUCGACGUGGCAAAAUGAGCAGCGUGCCACACCAUCAAGGCCGCGUCAACCUAUAUCAGUACGGGGAUAACUGGGCGCGGCACAACAAGACGGAUGUGCCAGAGCUGUUCGACAUAUAUGCCAUGGCCCAUAGUGCCCCGUAUAAGAAGGCCAAGGCAUUCUCCGAGUCUGAUCUCGAUGAUCCAAAGAACUUCACCAACCGUGCCUCCCACAACAAGCUAGUGAGGUACAGAGACGAGUGGAAGGCAAGGAAAGGGCCGGACUUUAACCCGAGCUAG